GGGUGCGGAACACGUACGCAACCUUCCUUUAAGCGGGGAAUAGCCCAGGGAAACUUGGAUUAAUACCCCAUAAGAUUAUGGUGUGGCAUCACACAGUAAUUAAAGCUCCGGCACUUAAAGAUGGGCGUGCGGCUGAUUAGGUAGUUGGCGGGGUAACGGCCCACCAAGCCUACGAUCAGUAACUGGUGUGAGAGCACGACCAGUCACACGGGCACUGAGACACGGGCCCGACUCCUACGGGAGGCAGCAGUAAGGAAUAUUGGUCAAUGGACGCAAGUCUGAACCAGCCAUGCCGCGUGGAGGAUGAAGGCCCUCUGGGUUGUAAACUUCUUUUAUCUGGGAAGAAACCGGACUUUUCUAAGGCCGUUGACGGUACCAGAUGAAUAAGCACCGGCUAACUCCGUGCCAGCAGCCGCGGUAAUACGGAGGGUGCAAGCGUUAUCCGGAUUCACUGGGUUUAAAGGGUGCGUAGGUGGGCAGGUAAGUCAGUGGUGAAAUCUCUGAGCUUAACUCAGAAACUGCCGUUGAUACUAUCUGUCUUGAAUAUAGUGGAGGUGAGCGGAAUAUGUCAUGUAGCGGUGAAAUGCUUAGAUAUGACAUAGAACACCCAUUGCGAAGGCAGCUCGCUACACUAUCAUUGACACUGAGGC
rnacentral:rRNA from 1 species